AGCUCCAAUAGCGUAUAUUAAAGAUUUUUUGGUUCCCACUCUCUUAGUUGGAUCUCCACAGCCUUUCCUCUUUUCCCUUUUUCUUUUUCCUUCUUUUUAUUCUGUGCUUUUGCUGGAGGUUUAGGGGUGCUCUUGAUCGAGUGUCUCUGGAUGCCAGCAGGUUUACUUUGAAAAAAUUAGAGUGCUCAAAGCAGGCUAAAAUGCCUGAAUAUUCGUGCAUGGAAUAAUAGAAUAGGAUGUCGAUCCUAUUUUGUUGGUUUUCGGGACUCGACAUAAUGAUAAAUAGGGACAGUCGGGGGCAUUUGUAUUCAAACGACAGAGGUGAAAUUCUUGGACCGUUUGAAGACAAACUACUGCGAAAGCAUUUGCCAAGAAUGUUUUCA
rnacentral:rRNA from 1 species